AGUUAACUGCUUGCACUAGAGAGAAGUUAAAUCUCCAAGAGGAGCUUUCGGAAGCUUACCGUAUCAAAGAUCUUCAACCGUUAGAAGAUGCGCUAUGUGAGCUGGUUACUGCAAAUACGUUGACCAUUUCUAAGCUCGUCAGCAAGUUUAUAUACAAAGGACAUGCAAAGCAAGAUAUCUUUCAUAAAAGUGGGAGCCUCCAUAAAAAAGGAGCUGGAUGCCCUACAUAAAAAACAACAACAAUACUGAACAAUACUCAACCUUGUUAACACCAGAUGUUCUUUUUUUUUUGAAAUUGAUGCUAAUUAUGUUAAAUUUUUGUUGGAAUGAAUUGUUUUUUAUUUUUUGGGGUUUAGAAUAGGGUUUUGUGAAUUGUUCCUUGUUUUUGGAAUCAAUGUUGCUGCUGCUGAGUUAUGUGUUGAAACUUGGAUAUAGAAAAUUUUAUAAUAAGACCUGUUUUGAUAAUGAAUUCGUCCUAUUUUGAUUAUGAA